AGCAGCCGCGGUAAUUCCAGCUCCAAUAGCGUAUAUUAAAGUUGUUGCAGUUAAAAGCUCGUAGUUGAAUUUCGGGAUCAGUACGCCGGUCGUGCCUCUGGUAUGUACUGGUGUUACUGGUUCCUACCUUCUGACGAACUGUCAUGUCAUUAAUUUGGUGUGGCGGGGAAUCAGGACUGUUACUUUGAAAAAUUAGAGUGUUUAAAGCAGGCUCGCGCUUGAAUACAUUAGCAUGGAAUAAUGAAAUAGGACGUUCGAUCCUAUUUUGUUGGUUUCUAGGAUUGACGUAAUGAUUAAUAGGGAUAGUUAGGGGCAUUAGUAUUCAAUUGUCAGAGGUGAAAUUCUUGGAUUUUAUUGAAGACUAACUACUGCGAAAAGCAUUUGCCAAGGAUGUUUUCAUUAAUCAAGAACGAAAGUUAGGGAUCGAAGACGAUCAGAUACCGUCGUAGU
rnacentral:rRNA from 1 species